rnacentral:rRNA from 1 species
AUGAACGCUGGCGGCGUGCCUCAUACAUGCAAGUCGAGCGAACGGACGAGAAGCUUGCUUCUCUGAUGUUCGCGGCGGACGGGUGAGUAACACGUGGAUAACCUACCUAUAAGACUGGGAUAACUUCGGGAAACCGGAGCUAAUACCGGAUAAUAUUUUGAACCGCAUGGUUCAAAAGUGAAAGACGGUCUUGCUGUCACUUAUAGAUGGAUCCGCGCUGCAUUAGCUAGUUGGUAAGGUAACGGCUUACCAAGGCAACGAUGCAUAGCCGACCUGAGAGGGUGAUCGGCCACACUGGAACUGAGACACGGUCCAGACUCCUACGGGAGGCAGCAGUAGGGAAUCUUCCGCAAUGGGCGAAAGCCUGACGGAGCAACGCCGCGUGAGUGAUGAAGGUCUUCGGAUCGUAAAACUCUGUUAUUAGGGAAGAACAUAUGUGUAAGUAACUGUGCACAUCUUGACGGUACCUAAUCAGAAAGCCACGGCUAACUACGUG